rnacentral:rRNA from 1 species
UACAGAGGUGGCAAGCGUUGUUCGGAAUUACUGGGCGUAAAGGGCGCGUAGGCGGUCUUCUAAGUCUUGUGUGAAAUCCCUCGGCUCAACUGAGGAACUGCACGGGAUACUGGAAGACUUGAGUUCGGGAGAGGGAAGCGGAAUUCCGGGUGUAGCGGUGAAAUGCGUAGAUAUCCGGAGGAACACCGGUGGCGAAGGCGGCUCCUGGACCGAUUACUGACGCUGAGGCGCGAAAGCUAGGGGAGCAAAGCGGG